GGACGAGCUACUUGGUGGGAUCGAGCCUUUCAUUCACCAUAAAAGAACUCAUCUUAACCCGCGGUUAUGUCAACAUAUAUAUUUUCUGUUCUCAAAAAAACUAUGAAAACAGGUCAGAUUUGACCCGAGGACAACAUGAGGGCUAAGGGGGCAUAAAUCUACCUCGACGACAAUCUACGACAACAUAUCCCCUGCAUCUCCCCUGAAAUCUACACUGAGAACAAACACCACAGCAAGGUUCCUAAAACCAGUGGUGUAGUCUAAUGUAUUGUAGUGGGUAUACUGUACUGUAUCAAAAAUAUAGUAAAAAAGGUAUGUCGUUGCGUGUCAUUGGGCAUUUUUAAGUGGGUAUAUGGAAAUCCUGGAGCUUUCUUAGUGGGUAUACUGUGUAUACCUGUGUAUCACGUAGACUACACCACUGCCUAAAGACUAAUCCCUUAGUAAGAAGCUGUAGUAAAACCAAAGAGCCUAUGGGACAAACAGCGAUGAACCAAAGUCGGCCUCUGAGAUAAUCAUUUCACUGAUUUCACUGUAACUAAACUAACUUUUUGUAAACAAAAAGAAUAAAAAUUGUGCGACUGACCUGCAACACCCGUACAGUCUCACACAGUGCCGUGUGCAAACUGGGAUGAAGAUUAACAUCACGAUGACAACGAUGGUGGUUAAACUAAAAGCUUUUCUCUUCUCGUCUGUGGUUUACUGGCGUUGAAUUCACGGUCACAACUCUCUCUGAUUCCGUGUGUGCCUUUUCUACAAAUAAAGAUGACGUAACAACA